rnacentral:rRNA from 1 species
GACAGAGGGUGCAAACGUUGUUCGGAAUUACUGGGCGUAAAGCGCGUGUAGGCGGUUCCGUAAGUCCGCUCUGAAAGCCCAGGGCUCAACCCUGGGAGGCGGGUGGAUACUACGGAACUGGAGUACGGAAGAGGAGAUUGGAAUUCCUGGUGUAGCGGUGAAAUGCGCAGAUAUCAGGAGGAACACCAACAGCGAAGGCAGAUCUCUGGGACGUUACUGACGCUGAGACGCGAAAGCGUGGGGAGCAAACAGG